GAAUUUUCCGCAAUGGGCGAAAGCCUGACGGAGCAAUACCGCGUGAGGGAUGACGGCCUAUGGGUUGUAAACCUCUUUUUUCAGGGAGGAAACAAAUGACGUUACCUGAAGAAUAAGCAUCGGCUAACUCCGUGCCAGCAGCCGCGGUAAGACGGAGGAUGCAAGUGUUAUCCGGAAUCACUGGGCGUAAAGCGUCUGUAGGUGGUUUAAUAAGUCAACUGUUAAAUCUUGAGGCUCAACCUCAAAACUGCAGUCGAAACUAUUAGACUCGAGUAUAGUAGGGGUAAAGGGAAUUUCCAGUGGAGCGGUGAAAUGCGUAGAGAUUGGAAAGAACACCGAUGGCGAAGGCACUUUACUGGGCUAUGACUAACACUGAGAGACGAAAGCUAGGGUAGCAAAUGGGAUUAGAUACCCCAGUAGUC
rnacentral:rRNA from 1 species